AGCAGCCGCGGUAAUUCCAGCUCCAAUAGCGUAUAUUAAAGUUGUUGCAGUUAAAAAGCUCGUAGUUGAAUCUCGGGGUUAGCAAGUUGGUCGUGCCACUGGUAUGUACUGGCUUUGCUGAUUCCUCCUUCUUGUAGAACCGUAAUGCCAUUUAGUUGGUGUUUCGGGGAAACAGGACUGUUACUUUGAAAAAAUUAGAGUGUUUAAAGCAGGCUAACGCCUGAAUUACAUUAGCAUGGAAUAAUGAAAUAGGACGAGCGAUCCUAUUUUGUUGGUUUCUAGGAUUGACGUAAUGAUUAAUAGGGAUAGUUGGGGGCAUUAGUAUUCAAUUGUCAGAGGUGAAAUUCUUGGAUUUAUUGAAGACUGACUACUGCGAAAGCAUUUGCCAAGGAUGUUUUCAUUAAUCAAGAACGAAAGUUAGGGGAUCGAAGACGAUCAGAUACCGUCGUAGUCUUAACCAUAAACUAUGCCGACUAGGGAUCGGAUGAUGUUAAUUUUUUAAUGACUCA
rnacentral:rRNA from 1 species